rnacentral:rRNA from 2 species
GCAUAUCAAUAAGCGGAGGAAAAGAAAAUAACAAUGAUUUCCCUAGUAACGGCGAGUGAAGAGGAAAGAGCUCAAAGUUGGAAACUGUUUGGCUUAGCUAAACCGUAUUGUAAACUGUAGAAACAUUUUCCUGGCACGCCGGAUUAAUAAGUCCUUUGGAACAAGGCAUCAUGGAGGGUGAGAAUCCCGUCUUUGAUCCGAGUAGUUGUCUUUUGUGAUAUGUUUUCAAAGAGUCAGGUUGUUUGGGAAUGCAGCCUAAAUUGGGUGGUAAAUCUCACCUAAAGCUAAAUAUUUGCGAGAGACCGAUAGCGAACAAGUACCGUGAGGGAAAGAUGAAAAGAACUUUGAAAAGAGAGUUAAACAGUAUGUGAAAUUGUUAAAAGGGAACCGUUUGGAGCCAGACUGGUUUGACUGUAAUCAACCUAGAAUUCGUUCUGGGUGCACUUGCAGUCUAUACCUGCCAACAACAGUUUGAUUUGGAGGAAAAAAUUAGUAGGAAUGUAGCCUCUCGAGGUGUUAUAGCCUACUAUCAUACUCUGGAUUGGACUGAGGAACGCAGCGAAUGCCAUUAGGCGAGAUUGCUGGGUGCUUUCGCUAAUAAAUGUUAGAAUUUCUGCUUCGGGUGGUGCUAAUGUUUAAAGGAGGAACACAUCUAGUAUAUUUUUUAUUCGCUUAGGUUGUUGGCUUAAUGACUCUAAAUGACCCGUCUUGAAACACGGACC